rnacentral:rRNA from 1 species
UACAGAGGGUGCGAGCGUUGUUCGGAAUUACUGGGCGUAAAGCGCGCGCAGGCGGCCCUUUAAGUCUACCCGUGAAAUGCCGGAGCUCAACUCCGUGCACGCCGGGGGAUACUGGGGGGCUGGAGACAGGUAGAGGCAAGCGGAAUUCCGGGUGUAGCGGUGGAAUGCGUAGAUAUCCGGAAGAACCCCCGAGGCGAAGGCCGCUUGCUGGGCCUAAUCUUACGCUGAGGCGCGAAAGCGUGGGGAGCAAACAGG